UACGCGCUGAUGUGAUCCAUGUGGCGGAGCGAGAGGUUGAGGAUGGCUUUCUUGAUCACCUCGUAUCCACCUUCUUCCCUCAUGCUCUUGGUGCUGCAGCAUGAUCAUGUCAAACUACAUACUCGAACCAAUCUCAUCUGAACAGAAUCUAUCGAGCAUCUGUAGAUCUUCAAUAGAAGAAAUGGUGGAAGAACUGAAGACUUCGAUGGAAUCUAUUACCGAUGACGACGCCUCCUAUCUUCAUUGGUGACAGUAGUGUCAAUCAACAACAUGCAAGGGCAAAGGUAGAGAUUCAAUGAUGAUCACACCUAUAAGCCAUGGGAGGCAGACUGCCAAAGGCAAGUGUUCGACUGGAAAAACAGUAAGUCCAAUGUGCCUAUGCAUUUUAAUUAAUUUCUGACUCCAAUCUCUCCUUUCACAAUGUGAAUUGGUGGUAUUUUGUAUUCCGAGAUAUAUAUUUUGGUCUCUUAACCCUCUGAUUUGGUUUUUUUUUCCCUUUUCUCUUUGUCCUACAAUGUCUGCCGCCACAAACCAGCAAAAUGCACAUUGGAUGUGACUCAUAAAUUGAGGGUCUAAUGAUCCAAUCCUUUUGUUGAAGAAAUGGAUGCCAAAUAAUUAGAUGAAGCACGCUAAUGCCUGCAAACUGUUUUCUCACGGAAUUGUCUGUUGUUUUAUUGUAUGUAUCAAUUGAUCCCUGCUUUUCUCAUUAAUGUUACAUUUCGACCCUAAUAUUUACCUCCAUUAAUUAACUUGAAAGAUUCAAGCCUAAUCCAGUGAAUAUUUUUUACCAAACAUGUUAUCUCUUAAAAUGUUUUAGGUUCAAUUAUUCUUCUUUUCUUAGCCUAAAUCUUCUUCAUUUCUCGCUGUUAUUUUUCUUUCUGAUAUACAAUAUGAGCAUAGUUUUAUCAGCAUUACAAUGCUGAUUGAUAUAAGACCCUAAAUCUUCUUCAUUUCUCGCUCUGUUAUUUUUCCUUCCGAUAUACAAUACAAGAGCAUAGUUUUAUCAGCAUUGCAAUGCUCUUAUUAAACAUCAAUUUCCACCAAAAAAAUAA